UACAGAGGUCUCAAGCGUUGUUCGGAUUCAUUGGGCGUAAAGGGUGCGUAGGCGGCGCGGUAAGUCGGGUGUGAAAUCUUGGAGCUUAACUCCGAAACUGCAUUCGAUACUGCCGUGCUUGAGGACUGGAGAGGAGACUGGAAUUUACGGUGUAGCGGUGAAAUGCAUAGAUAUCGUAAGGAAGACCAGUGGCGAAGGCGGGUCUCUGGACAGUUCCUGACGCUGAGGCACGAAGGCCAGGGGAGCAAACGGG
rnacentral:rRNA from 1 species